AUGAGCUACUUGCAGCGACAAGCACUGCUCACUCGACACCUUCUAGUCAAGGCAAUACCACUAUUGGAUCACCUAUUGCAGGGAAAACAAAGUUGCAAGAAGAGUUUGCCCAACACAAGUCUCGUUGGAGGUCACGUGUACACAAAUCAGAACUUGACACAUACUUGGAAGAAGCAAGGUAGCAGGAUUGUGCUGACUUUGAUGUCUUGGGUUGGUGGAAGAGGCAUGCUGAAAAGUUUGCUAUAUUGGCAUCGAUGGCCCGUGACUUUCUCGCAAUUCCUUUGA
rnacentral:rRNA from 1 species